rnacentral:rRNA from 1 species
UACGUGCCAGCAGCCGCGGUAAUACGGAAGGUCCGGGCGUUAUCCGGAUUUAUUGGGUUUAAAGGGAGCGUAGGCCGCGCCUUAAGCGUGUUGUGAAAUCCGGGUGCUCAACAUCCGGCUUGCAGCGCGAACUGGGGCGCUUGAGUGCGCUGAAAGUAGGCGGAAUUCGUGGUGUAGCGGUGAAAUGCUUAGAUAUCACGAGGAACUCCGAUUGCGAAGGCAGCCUACUGUAGCGCUACUGACGCUGAUGCUCGAAAGCGUGGGUAUCGAACAGGAUUAGAUACCCUGGUAGUCCACGCGGUAAACGAUGGAUGCUCGUUGUCGGCCCUUCGGGUCGGUGACCAAGCGAAAGCGUUAAGCAUCCCACCUGGGGAGUACGCCGGCAACGGUGAAACUCAAAGGAAUUGACGGGGGCCCGCACAAGCGGAGGAACAUGUGGUUUAAUUCGAUGAUACGCGAGGAACCUUACCCGGGCUUGA